UUUCCCUGAAAUUUAAGAAAAAAUUUCAAAUACCACUCCUGUGGUUUCGCACUUUCUCACUUUAGUACCCUGUGAUUUAAAGAGUAUCACUUUCGUACUCUGUGGUUUUAUUUUUCUCUUUUUGUUAUUCCCUUCACUAAUUUUUUUCGUUAAAUCAGUAAUAAAGUUAAAACUAAAGAGUACUAAAGUGAAUAUUCGAUAAACUACAGGUGGGAUGUCUGAAAUUGUUGUAUAUGAUUUAACGGACGGACUGACGAAAAGAAAAAAAUGAAACCACAGAGUAUUAAAUUGAUACACUCUAAACCACAGAGUAGUACAGUGAGAACACGCGAAAUCAUAAGGUGGUAUUUGAAAUUUACCCUAAAUUUAAAUUUAAAUUCUA
rnacentral:lncRNA from 1 species